rnacentral:rRNA from 1 species
UACGUAGGGGGCUAGCGUUAUCCGGAAUUACUGGGCGUAAAGGGUGCGUAGGUGGUUUCUUAAGUCAGAGGUGAAAGGCUACGGCUCAACCGUAGUAAGCCUUUGAAACUGGGAAACUUGAGUGCAGGAGAGGAGAGUGGAAUUCCUAGUGUAGCGGUGAAAUGCGUAGAUAUUAGGAGGAACACCAGUUGCGAAGGCGGCUCUCUGGACUGUAACUGACACUGAGGCGCGAAAGCGUGGGGAGCAAACAGG